rnacentral:rRNA from 1 species
AUUGAACGCUGGCGGCAGGCCUAACACAUGCAAGUCGAGCGGCAGCGGGAAAGUAGCUUGCUACUUUUGCCGGCGAGCGGCGGACGGGUGAGUAAUGCCUGGGAAAUUGCCCAGUCGAGGGGGAUAACAGUUGGAAACGACUGCUAAUACCGCAUACGCCCUACGGGGGAAAGCAGGGGACCUUCGGGCCUGGCGCGAUUGGAUAGGCCCGGGUGGGAUUAGCUAGUUGGUGAGGUAAUGGCUCACCAAGGCGACGAUCCCUAGCUGGUCUGAGAGGAUGAUCAGCCACACUGGAACUGAGACACGGUCCAGACUCCUACGGGAGGCAGCAGUGGGGAAUAUUGCACAAUGGGGGAAGCCCUGAUGCAGCCAUGCCGCGUGUGUGAAGAAGGCCUUCGGGUUGUAAAGCACUUUCAGCGAGGAGGAAAGGUUGAUGCCUAAUACGUAUCAACUGUGACGUUACUCGCAGAAGAAGCACCGGCUAACUCCGUGUCAGCAGCCGCAGUAA